UCCCUUACCUGGCGGAGGACAGACAGUGUUAGGAAAGGGGUUCUCCCUGGACUAGGCUAGUCCACCGCACUUCGGCUGCGCUGACCCCUGCGAUUUCCCCACACGCGGGGCCCUAGUCUGCGGU
rnacentral:snRNA from 1 species